AGAAUCAACGCUGGCGGCGUGCCUAACACAUGCAAGUCGAACGAGAAAGUGGAGCAAUCCAUGAGUACAGUGGCGUACGGGUGAGUAACACGUGACUAACCUACCCUCGAGUGGGGAAUAACCUCGGGAAACCGGGGCUAAUACCGCAUAAUAUCUUCGGAUCAAAUGCGUAAGCAGCUUGAGGAGGGGUCGCGGCCGAUUAGCUAGUUGGCGGGGUAAUGGCCCACCAAGGCAAUGAUCGGUA
rnacentral:rRNA from 1 species